GUCCAACAAAGCUCAUCCAUUAUAAUGGUCAAGUGUUACUGCUCGUACCUACGGUGUUUGGUGGAAUAUAGUAACAAGCUGAGACUCAAUUCACUCAAAUAAAACAUUUUGAUCCACUUACCAAACAGGUUUCUUACUCUGGCAGCACCAACACCGACAAACAUUUCAUCAAAUUCAGCUCCAGAACAGAAGAAAAAUGGCACUCCAGCCUCACCUGCUACAGCUUUUGCAAGUAACGUUUUACCAGUGCCUGGGGCUCCAAUCAACAAUAUACC